CUGGUACCUUCGGUGCCCGAGUUGUAAUUUGGAGAGGGCAACUUUGGGGCCGUUCCUUGUCUAUGUUCCUUGGAACAGGACGUCAUAGAGGGUGAGAAUCCCGUGUGGCGAGGAGUGCGGUUCUUUGUAAAGUGCCUUCGAAGAGUCGAGUUGUUUGGGAAUGCAGCUCUAAGUGGGUGGUAAAUUCCAUCUAAAGCUAAAUAUUGGCGAGAGACCGAUAGCGAACAAGUACAGUGAUGGAAAGAUGAAAAGAACUUUGAAAAGAGAGUGAAAAAGUACGUGAAAUUGUUGAAAGGGAAGGGCAUUUGAUCAGACAUGGUGUUUUGUGCCCUCUGCUCCUUGUGGGUAGGGGAAUCUCGCAUUUCACUGGGCCAGCAUCAGUUUUGGUGGCAGGAUAAAUCCAUAGGAAUGUAGCUUGCCUCGGUAAGUAUUAUAGCCUGUGGGAAUACUGCCAGCUGGGACUGAGGACUGCGACGUAAGUCAAGGAUGCUGGCAUAAUGGUUAUAUGCCGCCCGUCUU
rnacentral:rRNA from 2 species